rnacentral:rRNA from 1 species
GACGAACGCUGGCGGCGUGCCUAAUACAUGCAAGUCGAACGCAUUUUCUUUCACCGUAGCUUGCUACACCGACAGAAAAUGAGUGGCGAACGGGUGAGUAACACGUGGGUAACCUGCCCAUCAGCGGGGGAUAACACUUGGAAACAGGUGCUAAUACCGCAUAAUUCCAUUUACUGCAUGGUAGAUGGAUGAAAGGCGCUUUUGCGUCACUGAUGGAUGGACCCGCGGUGCAUUAGCUAGUUGGUGGGGUAACGGCCUACCAAGGCUGCGAUGCAUAGCCGACCUGAGAGGGUGAUCGGCCACACUGGGACUGAGACACGGCCCAGACUCCUACGGGAGGCAGCAGUAGGGAAUCUUCGGCAAUAGACGCAAGUCUGACCGAGCAACGCCGCGUGAGUGAAGAAGGUUUUCGGAUCGUAAAACUCUGUUGUUAGAAAAGAACAAGGAUGAGAGUGGAAAGUUCAUCCCUUGACGGUAUCUAACCAGAAAGCCACGGCUAACUACGUG